CCUACGGGUGGCAGCAGUGGGGAAUAUUGCACAAUGGGGGGAACCGUGAUGCAGCAACGCCGCGUGGGUGAAGAAGUACUUCGGAAUGUAAAGCCCUGUCAGCAGGGAAGAAAAUGACGGUACCUGACCAAGAAGCCCCGGCUAACAACGUGCCAGCAGCCGCGGUAAUACGUAGGGGGCAAGCGUUAUCCGGAUUUACUGGGUGGAAAGGGAGCGUGGACGGGAAGGCAAGUCUGGAGGGAAAGCCCGUGGUCCAACCCCGGGACUGCUUUUGAAACUGUGUUGCUGGAGUGCAGGAGGGGUAGGCGGAAUUCCUAGUGUAGCGGUGAAAUGCGUAGAUAUUAGGAGGAACACCGGUGGCGAAGGCGGCUUACUGGACUGUAACUGACGUUGAGGCUUGAAAGCGUGGGGAGCAAACAGGAUUAGAUACCCCAGUAGUC
rnacentral:rRNA from 1 species